CUAGAGUUUGAUCCUGGCUCAGAAUCAACGCUGGCGGCGUGCCUAACACAUGCAACUCGAACGCGAAAGUGGAGCAAUCCAUGAGUAGAGUGGCAAACGGGUGAGUAACGCGUGGGUGACCUGCCUUCGAGUGGGGGAUAACGUUCCGAAAGGGACGCUAAUACCGCAUGACAUCCUGCCUUUGAAGAGGCGGAGAUCAAAGCCGGGGAUCGCAAGACCUGGCGCUUGAUGAGGGGCCCGCGUCUGAUUAGCUAGUUGGUGAGGUAACGGCUCACCAAGGCAACGAUCAGUAUCCGGCCUGAGAGGGCGGACGGACACACUGGGACUGAGACACGGCCCAGACUCCUACGGGAGGCAGCAGUGGGGAAUUGUUCGCAAUGGGCGCAAGCCUGACGACGCAACGCCGCGUGGAGGAUGAAGGCCUUCGGGU
rnacentral:rRNA from 1 species